rnacentral:rRNA from 1 species
CGUAGGGUGCAAGCGUUAAUCGGAAUUACUGGGGCGUAAAAGCGUGCGCAGGCGGUUCGGAAAGAAGAUGUGAAAUCCCAGAGCUUAACUUGGAACUGCAUUUUUAACUACCGAGCUAGAGUGUGUCAGAGGGAGGUGGAAUUCCGGCGUGUAGCAGUGAAAUGCGUAGAUAUGCGGAGGAACACCGAUGGCGAAGGCAGCCUCCUGGGAUAACACUGACGCUCAUGCACGAAAGCGUGGGAGCAAACGAGGAUU